rnacentral:rRNA from 1 species
GACGAACGCUGGCGGCGUGCUUAACACAUGCAAGUCGUACGGUAAGGCCCUUUCGGGGGUACACGAGUGGCGCACGGGUGAGUAACACGUGAGUAACCUGCCCACAACUUUGGGAUAACGCUAGGAAACUGGUGCUAAUACUGGAUAUGUGCUCCUGCUGCAUGGUGGGGGUUGGAAAGCUCCGGCGGUUGUGGAUGGACUCGCGGCCUAUCAGCUUGUUGGUGGGGUAGUGGCCUACCAAGGCGGCGACGGGUAGCCGGCCUGAGAGGGUGACCGGCCACAUUGGGACUGAGAUACGGCCCAGACUCCUACGGGAGGCGGCAGUGGGGAAUAUUGCACAAGGGGCGCAAGCCUGAUGCAGCAACGCCGCGUGCGGGAUGACGGCCUUCGGGUUGUAAACCGCUUUCAGCAGGGACGAAGCUUUUUGUGACGGUACCUGCAGAAGAAGCACCGGCUAACUACGUG